rnacentral:rRNA from 1 species
AUUGAACGCUGGCGGCAUGCCUUACACAUGCAAGUCGAACACGAAAGGGGGCAACCCUGAGUAGAGUGGCGAACGGGUGAGUAACGCAUCGGAACGUGUCCCGUAGUGGGGGAUAACCCAUCGAAAGGUGGGCUAAUACCGCAUACGACCUGAGGGAGAAAGCCGGGGAUCGCAAGACCUGGCGCUAUGGGAGCGGCCGAUGUCCGAUUAGCUAGUUGGUGGGGUAAAAGCCUACCAAGGCGACGAUCGGUAGCUGGUCUGAGAGGAUGAUCAGCCACACUGGGACUGAGACACGGCCCAGACUCCUACGGGAGGCAGCAGUGGGGAAUUUUGGACAAUGGGGGCAACCCUGAUCCAGCCAUGCCGCGUGAGUGAAGAAGGCCUUCGGAUUGUAAAGCUCUUUCGGCCGGAACGAAAUCGUAUCUCUUAACAGGGGGUAUGGAUGACGGUACCGGAAGAAGAAGCACCGGCUAACUACGUGCCAGCCGCCGCAGUAACAC